UUUCAACCCCCAUGAAUUCACAUGCCUUGUUCAGCGCUCUCUCUCACAAUCAUGUUGCUAUUUUACCUUAAAGGCAUGAAAUCACUGAAAGCCAGAUUGCAGCCAUUCUUGUUUAAGUGAUUAGAGAUCCGGUGUCAAGUGAAAUGUUAAAGAUGCUUCAACAACUGGAAUGCUUGCAAGUAGAACUUUGUACUCGUGUUGAGGAUUCUUUUUCUCUAUUGGUAGAGGGAGUGGCAGCUGAGUAUAAUUAUCACAAACCUCCAGAAAAUCAAUUGUCUAAGACUGCUCUCGCUUGCUAUAAAAUCGCAGAAGCAAGGCUGUUGGACGGCUAGGUUGAAACGUUCGGAGCAUUACAAAAAAGUUCUUUUGUGGGAUUGCUUUGGUUGCCAAUGCUAAGUUAAAGGAAAGGAAGAAGAUGGUGGUUUAAGAACUCACAUCUUACGGACUAUAUCAAGGUAUAUCGAUGGUGUUGACUCAAAUGGGUGUAUAGUUUGAACAAUGGUUGAGAGCACUCGCCAAAAUGGUUGGUGGGCGUAAUAGUUAUCGCAUCUUGUGAUGGUUAUAUGCAACGUUGCUUCAAGGUCCCAAUGUUUGUUCCUGCAUUUACACAAGGUUUAACAUACAUGGGUUAACAAAUCUGCUCUGUUAAAAAAUGUACUUCAGCUCCCUUGAUUUUGGAAUGAAAGAUAAUGCGUUAUUGAAGUACAAAGACUGUCCAUGACUCCGUCGAGUAUAUGAAGGGAUGUUUUAUGUUUAGCGAAACACCACGGUGACUUGACUUAUUAGACUAUAUCUAGUAUGAUAGUUAAGGAUAUUUUACUUUCGUGCAGUAGGAAUACUUCAUUUGUCUUUUUUUUCCCUUCUACCUUUGAAUGUUACUUGUUGUAAACUUGUUGGUGUUAUUGAAGUUUUUUCUAUAAA